rnacentral:rRNA from 1 species
AUUGAACGCUGGCGGCAUGCUUUACACAUGCAAGUCGAACGGUAACAGGGUGCUUGCACCGCUGACGAGUGGCGAACGGGUGAGUAAUGCGUCGGAACGUGCCGAGUAGUGGGGGAUAACGCAUCGAAAGGUGUGCUAAUACCGCAUACGUACUGAGGUAGAAAGUGGGGGACCUUCGGGCCUCACGCUAUUCGAGCGGCCGACGUCUGAUUAGCUAGUUGGUGAGGUAAAGGCUCACCAAGGCGACGAUCAGUAGCGGGUCUGAGAGGAUGAUCCGCCACCCUGGGACUGAGAAACGGCCCAGACUCCUACGGGAGGCAGCAGUGGGGAAUUUUGGACAAUGGGCGCAAGCCUGAUCCAGCCAUGCCGCGUGUCUGAAGAAGGCCUUCGGGUUGUAAAGGACUUUUGUCCGGGAGCAAAUACCCAGUGCUAAUAACGCUGGGGGCUGAGAGUACCGGAAGAAUAAGCACCGGCUAACUACGUGCCAGCCGCCGCGGUAAGAC